CAGGACGAACGCUGGCGGCGUGCCUAAUACAUGCAAGUCGAACGGUCUUUCUAUGGAAGCUUGCUUCCACUGAGAAGAUAGUGGCGAACGGGUGAGUAACACGUGGGCAACCUGCCUCAUAGAGAGGAAUAGCCUUCCGAAAGGGAGAUUAAUACCUCAUAACAUUGCAGUUUCGCAUGGAACAGCAAUUAAAGGAGUAAUCCGCUAUGAGAUGGGCCCGCGGCGCAUUAGCUAGUUGGUGAGGUAACGGCUCACCAAGGCGACGAUGCGUAGCCGACCUGAGAGGGUGAUCGGCCACAUUGGGACUGAGACACGGCCCAGACUCCUACGGGAGGCAGCAGUGGGGAAUAUUGCACAAUGGGGGAAACCCUGAUGCCAGCAACGCCGCGUGAGUGAUGACGGCCUUCGGGUUGUAAAGCUCUGUCUUCAGGGACGAUAAUGACGGUACCUGAGGAGGAAGCCACGGCUAACUACGUGCCAGCCGCCGC
rnacentral:rRNA from 1 species